rnacentral:tRNA from 1 species
UAGAUCAGUAGGUAGAGCGUGGCGCUUGUAACGCCAGGGUACUAGGUUCGAUUCCUGG